rnacentral:rRNA from 1 species
AACGAACGCUGGCGGCAGGCUUAACACAUGCAAGUCGAGCGCCCCGCAAGGGGAGCGGCAGACGGGUGAGUAACGCGUGGGAAUCUACCCAUCUCUACGGAACAACGCAUGGAAACGUGUGCUAAUACCGUAUACGUCCUUCGGGAGAAAGAUUUAUCGGAGAUGGAUGAGCCCGCGUUGGAUUAGCUAGUUGGGGGGGUAAAGGCCUACCAAGGCGACGAUCCAUAGCUGGUCUGAGAGGAUGAUCAGCCACACUGGGACUGAGACACGGCCCAGACUCCUACGGGUGGCAGCAGUGGGGAAUAUUGGACAAUGGGCGCAAGCCUGAUCCAGCCAUGCCGCGUGAGUGAUGAAGGCCCUAGGGUUGUAAAGCUCUUUCACCGGUGAAGAUAAUGACGGUAACCGGAGAAGAGCCCCGGCUAACUUCGUGCCAGCCGCCGCGGUAAAAC